GCCAGCAGCCAUAUUACUCUACAGCUCCCAGCUGGCAGCCCCCCCACUGGAGCUCAGCAGGUGGGAGCCUGGUCAGUACCUGGAGGGGAGACCUCCUGGGAAAAACUGAGGCUGCUGCUGGGA
rnacentral:rRNA from 1 species